GCAAUAGCUCAGUUGGUAGAGCAUGAGACUCUUAAUCUCAGGGUUGUGAGUUUGAGCCCCAUGUUGAGCA